rnacentral:rRNA from 1 species
CGCUGAGUUUGAUCCUGGCUCAGAGCGAACGCUGGCGGCAGGCCUAACACAUGCAAGUCGAACGAACUCUUCGGAGUUAGUGGCGGACGGGUGAGUAACACGUGGGAACGUGCCUUUAGGUUCGGAAUAACUCAGGGAAACUUGUGCUAAUACCGAAUGUGCCCUUCGGGGGAAAGAUUUAUCGCCUUUAGAGCGGCCCGCGUCUGAUUAGCUAGUUGGUGAGGUAAACGGCUCACCGAAGGCGACCGAUCAGUAGCUGGUCUGAGAGGACUGACC